UUGCAAAUAUCAUCCACACCUAUCCAAAAUCCCAUAUGGCCAUAUAUAAAUACACAUACAAAUACAUCACCUCUGUCCAAAAAAAGAAGAGACCAAACCCCUGUUCCAAAUAUCCUAAAACCAAAACAAACAAGAAAACCCUCAAUUUCUUAAACAAAAAUCUUUGAAAAAAAAUAUUCAAAAAUGCUUCAUCUGUUUUUCGCAGUUGGUUUCUCAGCCGUACCGUUGACUUUGUUUGUGCCACCAAUAAGAAACUUCAAUUUAUUUGUAGCAUCAAUGGAAGAUCUAUGGCGUGAAUCAAGUGUGUACACCAAUAGGAUGUAUCCACGUGUACGGUGAAAUUGUAUAAAUCAUUAUGUCGUGUGCGUUGUACUGACGUUUUAAAAUGUCACACGGAUCAACUAUGUUGUUACACAUAAUAAAUUUAUACAAUUAUUAUAUGUGUACAUAUUGUUUUCUUUUCUACUUAGCCUUAACAAUAUCAUUUGUAUUAGAAGGAUUUAAAUGUAAUGUAUUUGAUAACUAUUAUAUUCAUUGUCUUUUUGGAUGUA